AUUGAACGCUGGCGGCAGGCCUAACACAUGCAAGUCGAGCGGAUCGGCGGACGGGUGAGGAAUGCCUAGGAAUCUGCCAGUUCGUGAGGGAUAACGUCCGCAAACGGGCGCUAAUACCGCAACCUAUCGCAUUAGCCUAGGUCGGAUUAGCUAGUUGGUGGUGUAAAGGCCUACCAAGGCGACGAUCCGUAACUGGUCUGAGAGGAUGAUCAGUCACACGGGAACUGAGACACGGUCCAGACUCCGACGUGAGGCAGCAGUGGGGAAUAUUGGACAAUGGGCGAAAGCCUGAUGCAGCCAUGCCGCGUGUGUGAAGAAGGUCUUCGGGUUGUAAAGUACUUUAAGCGGGGAGGCGUUACCAGCAGAAUAAGCACCGGCUAACUCCGUGCCAGCAGCCGCGGUAAUUC
rnacentral:rRNA from 1 species